rnacentral:snRNA from 1 species
GUGCCCACUUGGGCAACACAUAUACUAAAAUUAGAAUAAUACAUAGACGUUCAGCAUGGUCUUAGAAAAGGAAGAGACACAAAUUCAUGAGCUAUACCAUAUAUUU